rnacentral:rRNA from 1 species
GACGAACGCUGGCGGCGUGCUUAACACAUGCAAGUCGAACGGAAAGGCCCUGCUUUUGUGGGGUGCUCGAGUGGCGAACGGGUGAGUAACACGUGAGUAACCUGCCCUUGACUGUGGGAUAACUUCAGGAAACUGGGGCGAAUACCGGAUAGGAGCUCCUGCUGCACGGGGGGGGUUGGAAAGUUUCGGCGGUUGGGGAUGGACUCGCGGCUUAUCAGCUUGUUGGUGGGGUAGUGGCUUACCAAGGCUUUGACGGGUAGCCGGCCUGAGAGGGUGACCGGCCACAUUGGGACUGAGAUACGGCCCAGACUCCUACGGGAGGCAGCAGUGGGGAAUUUUGCACAAUGGGCGGAAGCCUGAUGCAGCAACGCCGCGUGCGGGAUGACGGCCUUCGGGUUGUAAACCGCUUUCGCCUGUGACGAAGCGUGAGUGACGGUAAUGGGUAAAGAAGCACCGGCUAACUACGUG